GAUGAACGCUGGCGGCGUGCUUAACACAUGCAAGUCGAACGAUGAAGCCCAGCUUGCUGGGUGGAUUAGUGGCGAACGGGUGAGUAACACGUGAGCAACCUGCCCCUGACUCUGGGAUAAGCGCUGGAAACGGCGUCUAAUACUGGAUAUGUCCCGUCACCGCAUGGUGUGCGGGUGGAAAGAUUUUUCGGUUGGGGAUGGGCUCGCGGCCUAUCAGCUUGUUGGUGAGGUAAUGGCUCACCAAGGCGUCGACGGGUAGCCGGCCUGAGAGGGUGACCGGCCACACUGGGACUGAGACACGGCCCAGACUCCUACGGGAGGCAGCAGUGGGGAAUAUUGCACAAUGGGCGGAAGCCUGAUGCAGCAACGCCGCGUGAGGGAUGACGGCCUUCGGGUUGUAAACCUCUUUUAGCAGGGAAGAAGCGAAAGUGACGGUACCUGCAGAAAAAGCACCGGCUAACUACGU
rnacentral:rRNA from 1 species